CGGGGAAAUUUGGUCACAAGCUUUGCAUGAGAGUUACGGAGACGCAGUUGUUGAAUGUGUUUGGACGUUAUGAUGUCUCACAAGGUCAUUCUUAUGAACAAACAAAUGAAGGAUUUGGCAUUUACGUCAGUGACGUCAGACGUGCAGGGACUUUGAUCUUUCUGUGGCAAAUGCAGCCGGUCUGAACAAAAUGGAGACUGCUUCCAAGAUUCAACAGCCGACAGAAGGUCCUCUGCUGAGGGGUUCUGAUUAACUAGAGAGCAGGAAUGUCUUAGUUCAUUCCAAGAAUCCUGUCUUCCAUAAAAAAGGGGAGGGGAUAUGGAAAAACAGGCUCGCAUUGUUUUGAUUCGA